rnacentral:rRNA from 1 species
UGGCAAGCGUUGUCCGGAAUUAUUGGGCGUAAAGCGCGCGCAGGCGGUCCUUUAAGUCUGAUGUGAAAGCCCACGGCUCAACCGUGGAAGGUCAUUGGAAACUGGAGGACUUGAGUACAGAAGAGGAAAGCGGAAUUCCACGUGUAGCGGUGAAAUGCGUAGAGAUGUGGAGGAACACCAGUGGCGAAGGCGGCUUUCUGGUCUGUAACUGACGCUGAGGCGCGAAAGCGUGGGGAGCAAACAGG